AUCGCUUCUCGGCCUUUUGGCUAAGAUCAAGUGUAAAAAUAAAUAAACAUUAAACAAAAUUUUUAAAAUAAAUUUUGUUUUUUAAUUUUUAAAAAAGAUUUUAGGUAAUUUCCACAUCCAACAUGGGCCCCAAACUCACAACCCCGUGAUCAAGAGUUGCGUGCUCUACCCACUGACC
rnacentral:snRNA from 1 species